GAUGAACGCUGGCGGCGUGCCUAAUACAUGCAAGUCGAGCGAACAGACGAGGAGCUUGCUCCUUCGACGUUAGCGGCGGACGGGUGAGUAACACGUAGAUAACCUACCUAUAAGACUGGGGUAACUUCGGGAAACCGGAGCUAAUACCGGCCAAUAUUUCGAACCGCAUGGUUCUAUCGUGAGAGAUGGCUUUGCUAUCACUUAUAGAUGGACCGGCGCCGUAUUAGCUAGUUGGCAAGGUAACGGCUUACCAAGGCAACGAUACGUAGCCGACCUGAGAGGGUGAGCGGCCACACUGGAACUGAGACACGGUCCAGACUCCUACGGGAGGCAGCAGUAGGGAAUCUUCCGCAAUGGGCGAAAGCCUGACGGAGCAACGCCGCGUGAGUGAUGAAGGUCUUCGGAUCGUAAAACUCUGUUAUUAGGGAAGAACAAACGUGUAAGUAACUGUGCACGUCUUGACGGUACCUAAUCAGAAAGCCACGGCUAACUACGUG
rnacentral:rRNA from 1 species